GAUGAACGCUGGCGGCGUGCCUAAUACAUGCAAGUCGAGCGAACAGAUGAGGAGCUUGCUCCUCUGACGUUAGCGGCGGACGGGUGAGUAACACGUGUAUAACCUACCUAUAAGACUGGGAUAACUUCGGGAAACCGGAGCUAAUACCGGAUAAUAUAUUGAACCGCAUGGUUCAAUAGUGAAAGACGGUUUUGCUGUCACUUAUAGAUGGAUCCGCGCCGCAUUAGCUAGUUGGUAAGGUAACGGCUUACCAAGGCAACGAUGCGUAGCCGACCUGAGAGGGUGAUCGGCCACACUGGAACUGAGACACGGUCCAGACUCCUACGGGAGGCAGCAGUAGGGAAUCUUCCGCAAUGGGCGAAAGCCUGACGGAGCAACGCCGCGUGAGUGAUGAAGGUCUUCGGACCGUAAAACUCUGUUAUUAGGGAAGAACAAAUGUGUAAGUAACUAUGCACGUCUUGACGGUACCUAAUCAGAAAGCCACGGCUAACUACGUG
rnacentral:rRNA from 1 species